rnacentral:misc_RNA from 1 species
GAUGAAGAACGCAGCGAAAUGCGAUAAGUAAUGUGAAUUGCAGAAUUCAGUGAAUCAUCGAAUCUUUGAACGCAUCUUGCGCUCCUUGGUAUUCUGAGGAGCAUGCCUGUUUGAGUGUCAUUAAGUCCACUUAAGCUCAGCUUAGUAUUGGGAAUCUACUCUAGCGGUGCUACCCGGGCUUGCCCCCGUAGUAUCCUGUAGUUCCUUAAAGACAGCGGCGGAGUUGUGAUUUCCUCUGAGCUUAGUAAUUUAUUCUAGCUUCUGAAGAGUCUCAGCUUCUGCCGUUAAACACCCUUCUUCUGAAUGGUUGACCUCGGAUCAGGUAGGAAUACCCGCUGAACUUAAGCAUAUCAAUAAGCGGAGGA